rnacentral:rRNA from 1 species
AGCGAACGCUGGCGGCAGGCUUAACACAUGCAAGUCGAGCGGGCACUUCGGUGUCAGCGGCAGACGGGUGAGUAACACGUGGGAACGUACCCUUCGGUUCGGAAUAACGCUGGGAAACUAGCGCUAAUACCGGAUACGCCCUUUUGGGGAAAGGUUUACUGCCGAAGGAUCGGCCCGCGUCUGAUUAGCUAGUUGGUGGGGUAAUGGCCUACCAAGGCGACGAUCAGUAGCUGGUCUGAGAGGAUGAUCAGCCACACUGGGACUGAGACACGGCCCAGACUCCUACGGGAGGCAGCAGUGGGGAAUAUUGGACAAUGGGCGCAAGCCUGAUCCAGCCAUGCCGCGUGAGUGACGAAGGCCUUAGGGUUGUAAAGCUCUUUUGUCCGGGACGAUAAUGACGGUACCGGAAGAAUAAGCCCCGGCUAACCUCGUG